CCGCCGGCGACCGGCGCACGGGUGAGUAACACGUAUGCAACCUGGCCGUGACAGAUGGAUAACCGGGAGAAAUCCCGCCUAAUACAACAUAAUGCCGGGAGGGGACAUCCCCUGCCGGUCAAAGGGGGCGACCCCGGUCACGGAUGGGCAUGUGGCGCAUUAGGUAGUUGGUGGGGCAACGGCCCACCAAGCCGACGAUGCGUAGGGGUUCUGAGAGGAAGGUCCCCCACAUUGGAACUGAGACACGGUCCAAACUCCUACGGAAGGCAGCAG
rnacentral:rRNA from 1 species